CCUAGUUCCCAUCCCACAUAUUCAUCUGCACGUGUCCCUCAUCCAUUUUCCCUUUCAAGCAAAAGCUCCAGUACCCUACAUCAAUGGCAGUGGCUUGCCCUCUCCAUUUUCAUAAAAGUCUUCAGAUCUUGGCAUGUCCACUGACAGAAGGACGCUCUCCCUUUCAUAUUUGACCAAAAUUAUUCUAAAUAUAGAGGUACAUGUCAUCUUCACUCGAUAUUUUCACUCUGCCUUCUUCCAUUUCGGGCACAAAUCUGACCAAGAUUCAAACGGGCAUUUUGACUCAAGAUUCAAACCUGAUGCUCUAAGAAUCCCGCCCAAAAAACAUCCCAAAACCCUAGCUCGUAGGUAUAAAUAUUCGUCUUGCAUCCAUUUUAGGACCACGAUUUUUUGGAGCCAUCACCCUUCACUUUAAAUUACUGUUGAAACCAAACUUUACUCUAAAAAAGGGGUACUUUUGUUUCUGUCAAGAUUUCGGACUCAAAGGGUUUUCCGAGUGUAAAGUGGUCAAAGUUUGAGCCUUAGAUCGGUGACCUAAAAGCCCUAGUUCGCUGCACCCGAAAAAGCACCGGGUGUCCGGGUCUCUUUGAGCCCCGACUAAUCCCGGGGGUGCACAGGCCCUCGGCAAGGAGUUUCCCGCAAGUGCACCACGGGUAAUUCAGGGUUUUACCCCAGUCCGAUGGCCCUCAGAAAUUGUUUGCACCCAAUGAGUUUCGAACUUGAGACCUUGAAAGGGAGCACCCCAAGGCUCAAGCCAAUUACCACCAGGUCAACCCCUGAGGGUUCUUGUUGUCUAUUAUAAAAUCUUUUCUAUUAUAAAAGCAUGUCGGUGCUCUAAUUCUCUCUUUUCUGGUUUCUUCUUUUUGCAUGAUCACCGGAGCCGACGAGUCUCACUUGAGACUCAACGACGCCGCACGGAGCCAACAUGACAUCAUUCCUUCUUGUUUCUGUUGAAUAACGAGCCUGACAGUUUACUAUCCCCGGAAAAUUGGAUGGAAAACUUGUUUUUCAUCUUAUGUCCUUUUAUUCUUUUCUUCCUGGUUGCUAACGUUACUUAUGAGUUUGUGUGUCAUAAAUUUAAAUCAUUACGGGAUUAAUAAUUAGACUAUUCGAUUAUUUAGAAUUUUUCUACUUCCUGA